rnacentral:rRNA from 1 species
GACGAACGCUGGUGGCGUGCCUAAUACAUGCAAGUCGAGCGGACCAAUAGAAGCUUGCUUCUGUUGGUUAGCGGCAGACGGGUGAGUAACACGUGGGCAACCUGCCUGUAAGACUGGGAUAACUUCGGGAAACCGGAGCUAAUACCGGAUAAUUCAUCCCCUCGCAUGAGGGGAUGCUGACAGUCGGUUACGCUGACACUUACAGAUGGGCCCGCGGCGCAUUAGCUAGUUGGUGAGGUAAUGGCUCACCAAGGCGACGAUGCGUAGCCGACCUGAGAGGGUGAUCGGCCACACUGGGACUGAGACACGGCCCAGACUCCUACGGGAGGCAGCAGUAGGGAAUCUUCCACAAUGGACGAAAGUCUGAUGGAGCAACGCCGCGUGAGCGAUGAAGGCCUUCGGGUCGUAAAGCUCUGUUGUUAGGGAAGAACAAGUAUCGGAGUAACUGCCGGUACCUUGACGGUACCUAACCAGAAAGCCACGGCUAACUACGUGCCAGCCGCCGCAGUAACAC